rnacentral:lncRNA from 1 species
GUAAGGUGGCCUGAAUUCAAAUCCUAGUUCUAGCUCAGUAAUAUUUCACAAGCUACAGUGCCUCAGUUUCCUUACCUGUAAAAAGAGCAUAUAGUCUAUAGGGUUAUUAUGACCAUCAAACUAGUUAAUACAUGUAAAGUCACCUUGCAGUGCAUUGCACUGACCUUGCCUUGUGAUCCUGGUGCCAGGUUUUUUGAGCCUGGCAGGAAUGGUGAGAGUGUCAAGUCUGAGAUGGUCUGGACUUGCAGCUGAAGUUCAGUUAAGGACCCAAAUCAAGUACUUUCAGCCACAUUCCAUUGCUUGCUAUCAUAAGAUAAGAAGAGACAGCUAUUUUAUUAUACUAUUUUUGAAAUACAGUGCUUAGAAAGGUACAGUGGCUGGCCCAAGAACCCCCCAAAAUUCAGUGGUCAGGAUACAUCGCUACAACACCCACUCCUUUUCCAGAAGGAAAACUGCCUUCUCAUCUAAAAGUGCCUUUGAACUCUGACUACAACAUCAUCUGCAUAAAGAUUGCAUCAUCAGUGCUCAUGGGCUUGAACCGAGUGGAAACUAUGCGAUUUCACAUGGGGAAAAUUCUGGGCAACAAGACAUUGAACCAGGGUUCUUAGCUGCAGCCCUAGUUAGAGAAUUGCUUCCACAUUCUGGGCCUGUUUUCUUGUGUUUACACAGGAGAACUGGUUGGGAGAAGUGGUUCUCACUAUUUGGUGUAAGGAUCGACUGCAUCCCAAUCAUCUGGAUCCAUGUUUAUAAAGGCAAAAUCCCUGGGCUUCCCCAAGAUCUGUUGACUCGGAAUAUGAAGGGGUAGGUCAUGGAAAUCAGCAGUUGAUACAAGAUUACUACGGGAUUAUUAAGCAUACUAAGGCUCAACAACCACAACAAGGGGACCAUAUGAUCUCAGAACUUCCAUCCAGAAAUAUUGUCAUACGAUUUUAUGAAUAUAUCAUUACUGUAAGGUCCACAAGAAACAAUAGCUAGGAACAGAACUAUACUUGUGACAUCUUGAUUUUUUAUUCCUCACCCAUGCAUCCCAGUUCUAUGUGGAAAGUGGAUGCAUUUUAAAAAGCUAGUCCAUUCUGUGGGAAACUGUAGUCACUGACACAUCCUGAAGUUCCCUCUAGGCUGUUCUGGAGCGUGGAGCC